rnacentral:lncRNA from 1 species
CAUCAGAAAGACACAACUAAAACAACAUAUUAUGAAUGAUAAUUCUGACAGCUAGAUGAGCACCAAGCAUAUGGCACCUCCAAUGAUCAUCUAAAUCAUUGAACUCAUUAUCACCCAACUUAAUGAGAGGUUAUGGUUUAGUUAUUACCAUAACUAUUUCAUUUUAGGGACCUAACAAAGUUAGAGGAUUUAAUUAGUUGAAUCAAGAGAUGAGAUGAGACUUGAUCAGUUAAUCUUAAUCCUCCCAUUGACUUCACCAAGUUAGAUUUAAGAAGAUCAGGCAUAAGCUGGUCCAGCCAACCAGUC